rnacentral:lncRNA from 10 species
AUUGCGCAUGCGGGAAACCCACGCUGAGGGAAGAAUCAUGGGAAAGAGGAGACGGGGUUCCACCGUGUUAGCCAGGAUGGUCUCGAUUUCCUGACCUCGUCAUCCUCCCGCCUUGGCCUCCCAAAGUGCUGGGAUUACAGGCUUGAGCCACCGCGCCCCGCUCUUUCGUGUUCCAAAGGCUUUUUAAAUAAACUUCCACUCCUGUCCUGGAUUCUGCUUUAUGGCCCUCAGUCGAAUUCUUUCUUCUGAGGAGGCAAGGACUGAAGUUGCUUCUGACCAGUACAGGAGAAAACGAAUACAGCAGGGAUGACUUCCACCAGCUCCACUUUGCAGCUCUGAGGUGUAUUAAAAAUGACCUGGAAGAAGUCAUGCCACGGGCCAGACCUUAACAUUCCUUUCGGCUUACCCCAGGAUUUCAGACAAAGCUUCACUUUCCUAACCAGUCACAAAUCAGAGAAUUUUUGAUUCCACCUAUGACCUGUGAGCUCCUGCUUCAAGAUAUUCCACCUUUUUUAGGCCAAACCAAUGUAUAACCUCCAAGUGUCGAUUUACACUUUCGACUGUAACUUCUGCUUUCCUGAGAUUUACCCCUGCCUUUAAAAACCCUUGCUUGUAAUCCCUCAGGGAGGCCGUGUAUUUAUUAAUCAUGAGCUGCCCAAUUCUCCUUGCUUGGUGCCCUGCAAAUAAACACCCUCUUUUCUCCCACUGCAAAA